UAGGACACCUGGAAAUGGCCUUUUUUCCUCAGAACUGGUGGGCUACCUACUAGCUAUUGGGUAAAAGGAUGAGAGAACCUGCCACCUCUUCCUCGAGGGAAAGGUGCUGCAUACUGUAAUACAUAUGUGGACAAGACUCUUGCUGAUGCAGCUGGACGAAUGCAAAGGAGAAGUCUGGAGUGUGGAUCCGGGAAAGAGCCUGGUGGGACCUCUUGCUUUGGAAGGUGCUGUAGCAGUGGAAGCCAGCAGGUUUCAAAUGCCAAAGACACAACUGGGAGAGUCACUUCAGGACAGGUUAACACUAGCACUUCCCAUUAUCCUUCUGUGUGGCUGCUGUGAUUCCCAGCACCUAUUUUCCCCUCCUUACAGUCAUGCAUCUCUGAAUUCACUGGAUUCAUGCAAGAUGGAGUCUACUUUUCUAUUUUUACUUCUCUGUUUCCAUCUCAAUU